UCCAGCGGGUGCCGGUUCCCAAGCGCAGGUAGCGCGCCCCUGCCGGGGGGCGACGUCCCCCGGACCGGCGGCGCGGAAGCUGCCCGCGGGGGC
rnacentral:tRNA from 1 species